AGAGUUUGAUCCUGGCUCAGGAUGAACGCUGGCGGCGUGCUUAACACAUGCAAGUCGAGCGAGAAAUUACUAAAUGAUCCUUCGGGUGACUUUAGUAAUGGAAAGCGGCGGACGGGUGAGUAACGCGUGGGUAACCUGCCUUGUACAGGGGGAUAACAUAGUGAAAACUAUGCUAAUACCGCAUAAGCGCACAGUAUCGCAUGGUACAGUGUGAAAAACUCCGGUGGUACAAGAUGGACCCGCGUCUGAUUAGUUAGUUGGUGAGGUAACGGCUCACCAAGGCAACGAUCAGUAGCCGGCCUGAGAGGGUGAACGGCCACAUUGGGACUGAGACACGGCCCAAACUCCUACGGGAGGCAGCAGUGGGGAAUAUUGCACAAUGGAGGAAACUCUGAUGCAGCGACGCCGCGUGAAGGAAGAAGGUUUUCGGAUCGUAAACUUCUAUCAGCAGGGAAUAAAAUGAAGGUACCUGACUAAGAAGCCCCGGCUAACUACGUGCCAGCAGCCGCGGUAAUACGUAGGGGGCAAGCGUUAUCCGGAAUUACUGGGUGUAAAGGGAGCGUAGGCGGUAAUAUAAGUCAGAUGUGAAAGCCCAGGGCUCAACCCUGGGACUGCAUUUGAAACUGUAUAACUAGAGUACAGGAGAGGAAAGUGGAAUUCCUAGUGUAGCGGUGAAAUGCGUAGAUAUUAGGAGGAACACCAGUGGCGAAGGCGACUUUCUGGACUGUAACUGACGCUGAGGCUCGAAAGCGUGGGGAGCGAACAGGAUUAGAUACCCUGGUAGUCCACGCCGUAAACGAUGAGUGCUAGGUGUUGGCCUGUAACGGGUCGGUGCCGCAGCUAACGCAUUAAGCACUCCACCUGGGGAGUACGAUCGCAAGAUUGAAACUCAAAGGAAUUGACGG
rnacentral:rRNA from 1 species